CUUCUGGGUUAACUUGAAAUAGUGAAUUUGGCAAGAGUGUGCUUUUGUGGCCUCUUGACUGAGAUAAUGUAUUAGGUUCUACCAACUCGUUAUAGCAGUUUGAGAAAGUCCUCUGGCAUAUAUAGCUCGGCCUAACAACCAUUCUAAAAGUUUGACCUCAAAUCAGGUAGGAUUACCCGCUGAACUUAAGCAUAUCAAUAAGCGGAGGAAAAGAAACCAACAGGGAUUGCCUCAGUAACGGCGAGUGAAGCGGCAAAAGCUCAAAUUUGAAAUCUGGUACCUUCGGUGCCCGAGUUGUAAUUUGAAGAUAGUUUUCUGGUGCUGGUCCUUGUCUAUGUUCCUUGGAACAGGACGUCACAGAGGGUGAGAAUCCCGUCUGGCGAGGUGUCCAGUGCUAUGUAGAUUUCUAUCGACGAGUCGAGUUGUUUGGGAAUGCAGCUCUAAGUGGGUGGUAAAUUCCAUCUAAAGCUAAAUAUUGGCGAGAGACCGAUAGCGAACAAGUACAGUGAUGGAAAGAUGAAAAGAACUUUGAAAAGAGAGUGAAAAAGUACGUGAAAUUGUUGAAAGGGAAGGGUAUUAGAUCAGACUUGGUGUUUUGUGAUUAUCUUCCCUUCUUGGGUUGUGCACUCGCAUUUCACUGGGCCAGCAUCGGUUCGGGUGGCAAGAUAAUGACAUUGGAACGUGGCACCUUCUUCGGUUGGUGUGUUAUAGCCUUUGUUGAUGUUGCCUGUCUGGACCGAGGACUGC
rnacentral:rRNA from 1 species